ensembl:lncRNA
AUUGGUUGAGUUGAAAAGGCUGCCCUACAGUAGUUUGCUUGGAGAGACAGGAGGUUGCUGAAGCACCCCUCUGAUGUGAUAUCUUUUCAUUUUAUUCUUCAUGGGGGGGACAGAAGACCAUGGUGGAAAGGAAUUGUGGUUAUUAUUCCGUCAUUAUUCUAACCUCGGUGACUGUCUUCCAGAGCCACUUCUGGUUAGACUCUUUUUGGAGAAUGAUUCACUUGGAAGCUCUUUCUUUGGGUCUUUCUGUCUUUAGAGCCCAAAUGAAGAAGAAUAUGGCCACACAUUUAAAAAGCAGGAAUAUUGGAAGGCUGAUCCAUCUGGGAGGGAGGCAGAGGACAUGGAAGUGAAGAGAGUUCUGGGCCUUUAUUUCUAUACCAACAAAUAUCCAUUUCUAAAAACUGGCUGUGUGAAAUGAAGCUGCUUUCUGAUGGCCAUCUAGCGCCAGCAGGCUCCGAGUCAGCUUGAGUUGGGCUGGCCGUGGCACUAUGCCAGGGUCAUGGUUUUACUUGGCUGAACUGUUCUUGAACAGUCUCUCCCAAGCGCUGGGCACAGAUCAUCCUUUCUUCAGCACCAGGCAUGCAUGUCUUCUCUCCAGACCAUUCUUUCUUUGCUUGGAAAAAAAGCGCAGCAGUUGUGGCCGUGCUACUCCCUGCUCCCGUCUUCAUUGUUCUGCCCUGCCUCCCUUCCAUUGCUUGGUCUGACAGUUGUUCAGGGCUUUGGAUGGGCUCAGGGACUUUGGGACUACAUGGAAUACACAGUUCACAUAAACAGAGAUGGGCAUCUCCAAGUACAAGCCACUGAAGAUGGCCAUAUUGGGACACAGCAGCACCCGCCUCACCUAGCUUGGCUGUGCAUCCUUAGUGAACUUCGCUUUGGGUGACUGAGCCUGAUGUCUACACCAUUUUGUGUUACACUAUGGCCACUGUGGUGUGAACUCUCCUCCUGCUUCUGCUCACUGGCCUCCACAUCAAUUCAUGUUAGGCUGAAAGCCAUGCGUGUGUGCCCUUCAUGAUGAUUAACUAACCAGAGGAACAAGUAACUCUACACAGCAUCCCUUUCGGCAAACCCACUGCUGAUUCAGCUUCCUCACCGGCAUAGAGACGGCAGCUCAUUUCUGCGCCCCGUGUCUCGGCCAUUAGCUUGGCUCUCUAGUACUCUGCUCCAGAGCAGUCCUGCCGUGCAUCUUCCUGCUGGAUCUCUCAUGGCUUCUCUGGCCUCUAAACUGGCCAAAGCCAUCCCAUGUUUAAUAGAGCAUCACCAAAAGGAGGAAAAGCACAGGCCCAACCGGGAUGGAGGCAAUACCGGCAUCUCCCGGCUUUACUUUGCUUCUGAAGCGUCCCUGGAAGUGUCAGAAGGAAAUGUAGUGGAUUAGUGUCUUUUCUCCACUCCCAGUUCCAAUGUAGAAGCCCAUUAACAGGCUAUUCUUUACUACAGUCAGGUAACAGGAGAUAGUAAGUGAAUGCACUGGAGUGGAGAGCCAGGUCCUCCAUUUGUUGUCACCAGCUCCAGAAGGAGCUCCCGUAGGCAGGCGUCAGGCGAUUUCUCACACAGGCUCCCAGCACUGAGCCUUCCUUUCCCAGUGCUCUCCCUUCCACUAUGAUUACAUGAUAUUCAUAUGCCAUGUCCUAACUAAUGGGUCCAUGUGUUUUUUCCCCAAGUUCUUUGCUACAACCAACAAAUAAUGCUAUUAUAAACAUUUUCUACCUAUAAGUCCUUCCCUAAAUUUAAUCUCAUUGUAAUAUAUGCCAG